rnacentral:tRNA from 2 species
AGGGGUGUCGCCAAGCGGCAAGGCAACGGUUUCUGGGUCCGUCAUUCGUUGGUUCGAAUCCAGCCACCCCUGCCA